UUGGUUCUCAGAAUAUUGAAGAGUAGAAGUGCUUAAUACUGUCUGAAUUUGCAUAUAGUACUCAGUUAACAUUUUUUGGGUUUUAGUGCGAUUUAAUGCAAUUUGCAUCCCGGAUAUAUUAACACUCCCAGCUCCUCUACACAAUUUCACAAUCAAUUUGCCAUCCACAGAGUUGUCGGUUAUGGCCAAAAGUAUAAGCCAUGACUCAACUCAACAACGCCUCGAAGGUCGACAGCUGGCGACACUUUGGAUGUGGUGCGAGUCUCGCAACGCCGACGGGGAACAUAUUUGGCUUUGAUGGUGCGUGGGCUUUACAACUCAGUUGGCUUGAUUAAAAUGUAGUGUGGCCUGGCCGACGCCAAUUGGCUUAUUACCCAUGAUCCGAGCUAAGACAGGCAAAACAGACCCGGUUUGCAUGCGGUUCUAACAAAUGCCAGUUGCCAGUUGCCAGUUGGCAACAAACAUCGCGCAGAGGCGUUUUGAAAUGACCGUGGGCGGGGACAUGGGAGGCCUUCAACUGCGUCGACUUCUGAGUCCCACACACAAAGAGCUUUUGUAAUUAAAAGCUGAGCUGUUUUCACACUCAAAUGGUGCGUUGAUUGAUAUUCCCGGCUAAUUGCCACAGGCUUGGCUCCAAGUUGUUCCGACUCGGACCAUCCCAAGGCACUUCCUUAAUGGUCACUUACACCAAAUGUCAAGUUCAAGUGGCGGCCCUGGGUUAAAGAAAAAAAGAGAAUAUGGGAGCCGUGUACAAUGAGGCAUUUGAUUGAUGUGAGCCCCUCUCGCCGAUCAUAAUCGUCAUGAGGAUGAGCAUGAUGUUGGUGAUGGUGGUGCGUCAGCAAGAAAAUCGAGGUAGUUCUUUGACUUCUUCGAGUUGCCGGUGCCAAGAACCAAGUUCCAGGCAAUAGAAGUGGAUUAGGACCGUGGAAAGUACGUGACAAAAGCCCUCGUCGUCUGUAAUCUUGCUCACUCAGAACAGAACGAACAGCAGUCGAGUCAAGUUCGUGGUCGCAGUCUUUCGUUUGGCCGACUGCAGCUAAUUGGUGAGCAAAACAGCGAACAAGAGCAAUAAUGUACCGCAGACAACAAAUAACAACGUGUAAUGAACGCAGCUUACAGUUUUUUUCCAGCGAUUUUUUCUCUUAUUUUCCUCUCCACCACUCCGACAUACAUGAAUGAAAACUAAAGUAAAUUGGCCCCCAGUCGUUGGAGUCAUCGUCGUUGUUGUCGGUUCGGGACAUGAACAUCAAGGUGGUCGUGGCCGCUGUCGACUUCAGACAAAAUGCAACUACAGAAAAAAUGAAAAUAAAAGGAAGAAAUAUAUAUAUAUAUAUAGUAUAAAUGCGGCUAUAUGUAUACAGACAAUAAAUUGUUAAAUAGCCGCAGACGCAGAAUGGGCCGGGGCACGGCUUAAAAAUUUAUGCCAUUUUAAAGCGAGAAAUGAAACACGCCCCAAGUGCAUUACAAUAAAUUAUAGAAAUAUGAGUAUGGCAAAAAGUCUCAAAACAGCAACGGAAACCGAGCAGCGGUCGCUCUUUUGGGCCAUGAUCGCCGCCAUCUCUAUUAUAAAGCAAUUAAUGCCGGCAAUGCUGAUUUUAAUAAUUCAUAAAAGGGAAGGGAAAUGAGAGCAUAAUUAGGACGCCCGGGUGGCCCCACGGAUUCUUUGGUCUUCUCGGACUCCCCCUGCAGCAUGGGCACGACUUUGGACAGGGCUCAUUAAAAAUGGCCUGCUAAAAAUAGCAGCAAACAUUUCUGCGCGCCAGAGUGGAGUUGUCCUGCGCCAUCCUCACAUAUUUUCAUAUUAAUUAUCGUGGCCACUUGUACAGCUGUCCGAGUGCAACCUGCUGCUCCGCUCGAAACCCCAAUCCCAGCUCCAUCUCCAGCUCUAAGUAUUCUCUAGGGGCAGAUGCAAAGCACGAUGCGAUGCCCCUGUGCAGAUUUCGCCGAUUGGCCGCCAUUGACUUUUAGCGAUAAUUAACACCUAGGUACUAAACCAAAUUGCAACCGCAGCAUCGGCGUCUGCCAGAUGCGACAAAAGACAAAAACUGGCCAACUCAAAAGGCAGGCAAACUGGACCUUUGCUUAUUGAUUUGCAUUUUUACAAGACUUCUUGUUUGCGGCACUGUUGUCGCUUUUUAUGUCUAGAUUUAGUUAUUUUCGUAUAUUUAAAUCGCUUGUACUCGGGAUGCUUCAAGGUUCCCUCCUUGUAACCAGCCACUGGAUCAGAAGUACAGGCGGCGAUAAUUUAAACAGGAAUGCUGCGACCAGGAUUAGUUGGAAAUAUCGCUUUGAAGUCGAGUCAUAAAUUAAAGCCAACUAAAUAAAUCAAGAUGAAGUGGGGAUAUACAAAGUGGCUUUAACUUGUGGGGUGGAAAUAUAUUAUGGGAUAAAAAACCGGAGUUCUGCAAAUUCAUUCCUAAUGACUGGAUUUCUCGAAGAAAAAAGUUUCAAAUGUAAACGGAAGAAUAAGAAUCCAGAGAGUUGAUGAUAGCGUGAUGACACUAUUUCCUAACUUUUUUCCACCGACAGAUCUUGCUCUCGUCCCACUUUGUUAUUAUAAGAUUUUCGACCAUUUUAAGCUGAAUAAAAUCCGUCGAAUCUUCCACAAGAGUCGGAUAAACUAGCAGUUACGAGACGCUCUUUAACAAAAAACCUAGUCACAUGCCAAAUUUGGCUAAAUUGGCAACACUGAAUGGCAGCUACCGACCUGUCCGGCCAUUUACAAUUACCAACGACCAUCGACUAUCCACCAUCCACAAUCCACCAUCCGCGGCUCAUCCGUCGCGGCAUUACGAUUGCGAUUCCAGUCACAUAGUCGCACAUCUCCGCCUGACUCACGCUGGGCCAUUGUGGCUCGACUUUGGCCCUUUUGGCCAAGAGCGUUGGGGCCAAAUUGUGCUGCGUUAAAUUCAAUCAAUGCAUCAAAUCCACAUGCACAUGCACUCCAUCGCCCACGCGUCCUCCGAAGGAAACCAAAAUCAAAAAAAAAGAAAAAGAAAA